rnacentral:rRNA from 1 species
UACGUAUGGUGCAAGCGUUAUCCGGAUUUACUGGGUGUAAAGGGUGAGUAGGCGGUCAUGCAAGUCAUAUGUGAAAUGUCAGGGCUUAACCUUGGCGCUGCAUAAGAAACUGUAUGACUAGAGUGCAAGAGAGGUAAGCGGAAUUCCUAGUGUAGCGGUGAAAUGCGUAGAUAUUAGGAAGAACACCGGUGGCGAAGGCGGCUUACUGGACUGUUACUGACGCUGAGUCACGAAAGCGUGGGGAGCAAACAGG